rnacentral:rRNA from 1 species
AUGCGGCGGGAGAGGAUCAAGUCCAAUCUGCUAACCUUCCCCGAGGCGGCGGCGCUGGACGAGCUUCAGCUGUACCAUGCGGUCGACAGGGUCAUCAGGGAGUCCACGCCCUCCACCGCGACCCCGACCGCCCAGGGCAUGGUUCGCCUGGACGACAAGAGCAUCAUCGCCACCUUCGAGUACGCCAACUGGCUGUUGAGCUUCUCCGCCGACGACUACCCGCCCGCCGGGGUGGAUCCGCUCGUGUGGCUGAGUGAGCGGAGGCGGAUGCUGGACGGGGAGAUGAAGCCGGAGAAGAAGAGGGAUGACCCCGACAACUCGCGGUUCCUCGUCGCCAAGAUGCGCGUCGACCUGCUCACCAAGGGCUACGUCGAGCUCCCCAGGCCGUACGUCGAUUACACGCCCCCGCCCCCGACGAUCCGUGCCCGCGGCCAGCCCAAGAACGCCACGGCAAUGGUGGUUGGAUGA